rnacentral:lncRNA from 1 species
GGCAGGGGAGGGCCACUCUCCCGGGUUCGGAGGGACAACUGACCGCCGGCACCAAAAAAUCCACGGGAAGAAGAGACCAAAACAGGGGUCUCUUCUCCGAUCAAAAAUCGGCGACACCCGUCGCCGUCAGUCGCGCACAAAGGCACGAGAAGAAGGGGAAAGAAGGGAGGAAAAGAAGGAGAACUUACUUCGGCCUCCGGUGACCCCGUCGGUGAGCAAUCACGGUGAGAACGAAGCAAUGAUCCGCGGCUCUAAUUCGAAAAAAUCGGAGAGGAAGAGAGGGAAAGAAGACCGA